rnacentral:rRNA from 1 species
CCUACGGGUGGCAGCAGUGGGGAAUAUUGCGCAAUGGGCGAAAGCCUGACGCAGCGAAGCAGCGUGAGGGAUGAAGGUCUUCGGAUCGUAAACCUCUGUCAGCAGGGAAGAAAGGUCACUGUGCUAAUCAGCAGUGAAUUGACGGUACCUGCAAAGGACGGACCGGCUAACUCCGUGCCAGCAGCCGCGGUAAUACGGAGGGUGCGAGCGUUAAUCGGAAUUGCUGGGCGUAAGGCGCUCGUAGGCGGUAUGUCAAGUCAAGGGUGAAAUCCCCGCGCUCAACGUGGGAACUGCCGUUGAAACUGGCAAACUUGAGUGUGUGAGAGGAUAGUGGAAUUCCAGGUGUAGCAGUGAAAUCCGUAGAUAUCUGGAGGAACAUCAGUUGCGAAGGCGACUAUCUGGCACAUAACUGACGCUGAGGAUCGAAAGCGUGGGUAGCAAACAGGAUUAGAUACCCCUGUAGUC